UACCGGAGGCGGCAGUACGGUAUAGAAGACAACGCAGGCAACUCUAAUCCAGCCAUGCCGACGUGCAGGAUGAAGGCCUUAAGGGUUGUAAAUUGCUUUUGACAGGGAAGAACCCCCUCCUUUGAAGGGGGGCGGACGGUACCUAAGGAAUAAGCCCCGGCUAACUUCGUGCCAGCAGCCGCGGUAAUACGGAGGGUGCAAGCGUUGUUCGGAAUCACUGGGUAUAAAGGGUGGGUGGGCGGUUCAGUAAGUCAGGGGUGAAAGGCUCCCGAUCAACGGGAGGCCUGCCUUAGAUACUGCCUGUGCUUGAGUCAGAGGGAGGGCAGCGGAACGUGGCAUGUAGCGGUGAAAUGCAUAGAUAUGGGAAAGAACACCGGUUGCGAAGGCAGCUGUCUGGACCAUGACUGACGGUGAGGCACGAAAGCGUGGGGAGCAAACAGGAUUAGAUACCCUGGUAGUCCACGCCCUAAACUAUGUUCACUAGGUUGGGGCGGACCGUUCAGUGUCGCAGCUAACGCGUUAAG
rnacentral:rRNA from 1 species